rnacentral:tRNA from 2 species
GGCUCCGUAGCUCAGCCUGGAUAGAGCAUCAGACUUCUAAUCUGAGGGUCGCAGGUUCAAAUCCUGCCGGGGUCA